UCUGGCAAUUAUGGUACUAUAGCACGUUGCUGAUGGAAGGCGGUCAAGAAAAAGAUUAUUUGCAGUUGUGCCUCAUCGUCACUUAUUUGCCAAAUGAAAUUUUAAUUGCUGCUGUUAUCCCCGGCUAUAGUGUCUACGGUGGCGAGCUUUCUCCGCGGACCUUCAACUUCAAGACCUUCUACUUCAAGACCUUCAACUUCUAAACAACUAAAGGGAUAUUCUCGUCAUACUGCACUGUCCAUGACGUGCAUGUCGGGUCAUCGACAUGCAUGUUCAAUACCAUUAGUGCACAUGCUGCACCAGACUAUAUUUACGGACGUUGACUGUUUGCUUUAGGCACUGUUUCAAGCAUUGUACGAUGGCCGAUAACAAAAGUAUUUGUUAACGUUUUCAAGUUCCAUUCGGAGUAUCCGAAACUACGACGCAAUGUUAGUCGGAACUAACGUAUCUGGUUAAUCAUGUUAUCGCAUGAUGUUCUUGCUCAUUGGCAAACAUUAUUUCAGCAGUCGAUACGUCCUCCAAACUUCAGUAACUGUUACUAUAUAGUCCCCGUUCGUCACAAACGACCGUUGACAUUUUGUCAACCUCAAAUUCGAAUAUAUUAACCGUUUACACGCACGAGAAUAUCCCUUUAUCCAAACUAGCAAGUGUGUCUACUGUUUUCUUACUAGUCAAACAAAAGUUUGUCACAGCAUGUGCGCAGUUCACUUUACCUAUGUGCAUUCAUACUAAAAGCCAUUCGUCUACAAGCAAGUUAUUUAUUUGCGCUAUUGACGUAAGCUUUCAUGAAGGCCAAACCAAUGCUGAUUCGUCAAUGCUGAUUGUCAGCUUGAAAGUAAAGAUGAGCAAAGUGGUUCAACUGAAUCUUAUGGUUGCAGUAGGGCAUAUUAGAAGUAAGUGACAAGUAUGUGUCAGCAAUUGUUUAUGCUUCUUAACCCUAGAUACUUUUGAUUCAAUCCUUUUGGUGAUGACGUAAUGUGGCAGAAAACAGUAGACACACUUCAUCUCAUCGGAAACCCUGAAUGAUUGGUAUUUGUGAGCAUGUGUGCCUGUGAGUGUGUAAGGGUGGAUGUGGGUGUGUGGGUAUGUAUGUGCGUAUGUGAGGGUGUGCGUGUCAUCUUACACGUAAUUUAGUGAAUGAGUGAAUUGGUACUAGUUUUCAAGUAAAUACGUGCAUGAGUGCGUGUAGUCAGUGGUGUAUGGAACUAGCAUUGUGCCUGCCUGCUGCCAACGAAAUAUGCAAGCCCACACAGAGAAAACAGUUUUAUUGUGCAAAACUACAUGCUGCUGGCAGGGUUUACAUGCAAGUCACAUAUUGCAGGUCUACCAUAAGCAGAGCGAUGUGACAUCUGAUAAGUACCUAACUCACAGCAACACAUACUCUGCAUGUCCAGGGAAAGUGAGUUGUGCUCGGAACAGAUUGGCCAGACAGUUUUGUCCUAUCAAAUUCAGAAUUGUUUCAUCCUCCUCACAGUUGCCAUUAACAUCAUGAGCACACAUUAUUGCUAGAUCUGAAUGCCAGCUGCCUAUUGCACCGCUGGCACGUAGUUUGAGACAAAGAUGCCGCCAGUUUUCCACCUCGCUGCUGAUACAAUGCAAUACUGCUACAAAAUGUCCGUGUUCUGUGUUUUUAGUGUUGUAUGUUUGUAUAUGAGUCUUGCGUCGUGUGAACAUUACCUACAUGAGUUAAAGUGUUCCCGCGAAAGUAGGUACUGAAUUAGCUCAAGCCAGGAUUGCGUUGCGGAUAUAUUUGUAGGCCAUACAAUGUUUUAUGGCGUCAUUUACGACAUUUCCUGUUUUUCUUGUCGUUGUAUGCACGUGAGUUGUGCCGCAUGUUGCGCUUGUAAAUCAUGUUCUCAAUGUCAUUUUCUUUUGGUACAAUUGGUCACCACUACACAUCACUCGCAUACACUCGCCCAAGCAAGUCGGAUAUCAAUCACUGUCCAGAAGUGCAUGAUGCAUUCAACCACGCAUAGAACACUGGCACACCAAGAACAUGAACUCACGCAAAAACGAGAGGGCUAUCACACGACUUCGCAUUGGACACACCGCUAUCACACACAACUACAUCAUCACAAGAAGCCCGAGACCGAAAUGCAACACCUGCAACACUUUCAUCACUGUCAAACAUCUGCUACUCACAUGCCCACAAUACCAACACCACAGGACACACAUACAAACAUACUGCAGAGACGCCAACAUCCCACUAACACUCACAACACUGCUCGGGGACUUACACCCCGAGCUAACAACACUACUCAUCCACUAAAGACACAACACUGGGCUGAUCAAUGACCUGUAAAUCUCCUCCCCUAGAGCCAAGGACAAAAAAGCCAAAAAAGCCAAAAAAAGAAGCAAAAAAGAAAAAACAAUAUUCAAAACAAUGAGAAUCAAAAUAAAAGACCCCAGAAUGGCAAAAUGGCAAAAAAAAAACAAAAACAAAAAAAAAAUAAUAGAAGGGGCAAUCCGGCUACCCGGGAGGAGAUAGCUAGGAACCCAGUCCCACCCCUCAGCCCACCCUUACGAGCCAAGAAGACAACGGACACUUCAAGGCAACGGACGGACCAACAACGAAGACGGACGACAGAACCGGGCCCAAAUACAGGACGCUGUGGUGGCCCGUAAGCUACAAAUACCAUACCAUACCAUACCAGUGCAUCAUGCAUCAGAAUAAGCUUCAUUGAACACACUCGUCAUCAUGAACGGCAUCUAGGAGUUUCAUGAGUUUGGAUCUGUGACCAGCUGAUUUCGCAGUAUCCAAUGGCAACCGUGUAUGACCAGGCGCCGCUUGGACGCCUUGUCCAGUCACGUCUUCUGGGACUGUGUGAUGACUGCCUCUGCAUUCUCAAGUGCCAGUUUCUGCCUCCGGCCCAUUUCAUUAUCAAAGGAUGCUGUUAGCUUAACGAACAGCUCUGCUCCAAGAUUCCAAACGGUUUUACGGUACUGUAUGCCUACAAAACGUUAAUAUUUUUUGGAGGCGGUAAUACUCGGAUGAACUGACCUUUAUGGGUGGGUAUUCAACGUUGAAUAAAGUAGGCUUGUAGCCCUCUGCCUAUUGACUUCUAAGGGUUUUAGUAAUAUUUAUCGAAUAUCUCAUCUGAUAUGCAUUUUCACUCACAGUCGUCGAAAUCGAAAAAUCAUAAGCUUAGAAAUCCGCGGACUUGACAUAUUAUAUUUUAUCGACGAUUCGUUUCGACUUGCUGUCAUGUCAGCUAAUCAUCCGUUGCUUCUCCUAUUUUCACAGGUGCAUUACCUGUCAUCUUUACCGUCGAUACCGUUGAAGAUUUUACCGUCGAUCACGGAGCACCCAUUGCGCUGGCCGUUGCUGGCACUUUUUUAUUUGUCACUAGCUAUUAGUUAUCUGCAGAUAUACAUUAGCCACCUGUACACCCACUUACACUAGCUCUCAUCAUCUAGUUCUACGUAUGUGUGUGUUUGUUUUAAUUGUAUUGCCAAUGAAUUCGGUAGACAUGCUCCGCCCGCAAACAUGUACCACAUGAUGCAGUCCACUGAAUGUAGCAGUUAAUCACUCGUAAAAAGCAGUCAGGUUUUCGUAUAGUGUAGGUUUGCAUCUAUGUAAGCAUGUGUUCACACUCAUGAGCGAUCGACACAUGAUAUUGCAUUUCCUGUUUAGUUACAUUUUUAGCACUGGAACACGAUGCUCAUAUACUGCGUUGUUAUCUUUCUUUUUUUUUCGCCUGCUCCUUCCUCCAACUUGUGUCUUUGAGUAUUUCAGUCACAUGCUCAAACGUUCUUUAAUGCUCUCGCCAUCGGUUUACGCAUGCGUUGAAAACCCUUGUGUUGACCAAAUUGAACAAUAUGCGGACAAUGGAUCGACUUCUUGAAGCCUGUGGACGUGAUACACGUUCUCCAUCACCAUCAAGAGAUCAACAUUUUCGAAGACACUUGCGUACGGCUGGUAUGUAUUCAUAUUUGAAUGUCCAUUGUCAACACGUUGCAGAAUGCUUUACAUUUUGUGUGAUCAUUUACUGUCCUCAUUCCUAUACACAAUGCCAACAUGUUUGUCAUCGUCUUCAUGUACCUAUCUAUUGGGAUUGAUGUUUGCGUUUACUGACAGACACUUGUCAACAUUUUCAGUAUAGUGUCCGGCGCAAUGCUGAAUGCGACCUGUUAUCUGUUGGAUCUACUCUGUGAGCCAGAACCCCAGUGCAAUGGCACUGUUCGACUAUAGCGCUGGACGUCGUCUACUUUUUGCUAGAAGCAAAUGUUAUCAUCCGUCCAUGAACUUCGGUCUGCUCACAACUAUAUUGCCUUGGCAAGUUCUUUGAGCACUUAAUACUGGACUUGGGCUGCGAAAGCUAAUGACAAUUAGGGGAGCUUGAUAUUGCAAUGGCUAUGAUGUGAAGGUCCAAUAUGGCGAACAGCUCGACUAUUCACCAUUGUCAACUGUCAACGCUUAUGAUAGCUAAAUAUCAUUUUGCUUGGUGUACAUUCACGUCUCGUUUCCUUGCUCGAUUUGUACCUCACCGGUCUUCCGUCCCCACAGGCUUCGGCUGCAGCACAAGCCACAUUCAUCGGCCCAAUCAUCAGUUAUUCAUCCUGCAAGUUUUAAGUCACUUCGUUGUGACCCGGACAUCGUCAUCUUUCAACGACUUCAAAUGACUAUUUCAUUCAUCAUCGUCGAUCAGACUCAUCAUAAUGCUAUCUGCCAUCUACGUUUGUGAAUUGUGCAGGAAGUAAAUAUCAGGUUGUUAUUAGCUGCGGGCUACUCAGUACCGACUGAACUACUGGCAGUAGUGUGCGAGCACCUAAUACUUGUAUUGUGAUACCAAAGCUAAAACGGAUGAUAGCUUAGCGCAUAGCGCCCUACCGCUUUCCACACACACAUAAACAAAACUUGACUUAUCAGCACCAUGGCAGGAUAAACAGGCAGUUUCGCUGUUUUUCACUGCUUUCAUUGGCAGGUGUUACUGCUCAUUCCCGUUUCAUGUGAUGUUAGAACAGCCCUUCACCAUAGUCCUGUUUUCUCCUUUGCCGUUUUCCAUAGACAUCAGAUUCGACAUGCACUCCAACGAUCGGUCAGGCGCAUCACCAUCAAUCCGGUCGCCUGUUCGUUAUCACCGUCAGUCUUCGACAUCUGUCAACACACUUAUCCACAUUAUCGCCUUACUUUUGAUCUUAUCAAUAUGCAAGAAUGAGUGCAAAAUGCAUUCCAAUAUUGCAUCAGUUGAUGUUGUAUCGCAAUGACACCGCGUCCUCACCUCACAUCUGUUGUGCAUACUUGUUCACGAAUGCCAGUUGUUAUACGCAGAUUCGCAUGGUGAAGUUUUACUCCGUUGACGUUUUCUUUCCAUUCUUGUAGUCGAUCAAGAGGGAUUACAGUUGCACAUGCGGCCUUACACAUGCGUCCUUACAUGUUAGCUGAUUGAUAUGUUGGACACAUUGGUUCCUGUGACUCCAAGUAGUUCUGCAUUGGUAUUGCUUCACUUUAUAUGUUCUACCCAAAGAUCGUUUCUAGUUUUGUCUUAGCUUGCAGCUGUAUGCCAUGAACAUACAGGGUACUGCGCAUCUUUAUCGUGACAUUUCUGUAGUUUCGUCGCUUUCGCGGAUGAUUAGGACCAUGAGCUCAGUUGCAGAUGCGUCCAGCAGCCACCGACAUUUAUACACUUUAAAUUCCUAGUUUAGGUUCUUAUCCACAUACCAACAUGAUUUGAACAUUUCACACGUUUAGUGAUGAAAUGAACAGGUAUCAUCUACUACAUUAUAUUUUCAUGUAAAACACACACCAGUCUGUGAAAAAGAAAACCAUUAGGAGCAACAAUCAUGCCUUAGACAGUAUAGUUGCCAUAGAUAUUACGUUGUGCAGCGGGCAGGCCGGUGCACGAAAUGGCGAGUGUGAAUGCAGGAAUGCGUGUGAAAACUGCCUAGGUGUGGAGUGGCUGGUUUGUCUUCCGUUACAUCGUAAC